CUUAUACAGCUGGCUCCGUGGUGAAAAGCCAUUCUCCUCAAGAUGGAGGUAAUUCGACACCUCAACAGGCAAAGCCUUGAUCAGACAGCAUGCCGGUUGUUCUAGACGUCAUCAAGCAAAGAAGAACUUUGUCACUUGUGAUCGUGAUAUAUAUGUAAUAUGUCAUAAUACUCUUUGUAUGUACGUGGCGUAGCAGAAUUAUUUCAGUUGCUUGUAUUCUGCA